rnacentral:rRNA from 1 species
CUCCUUGGUGAAUCAUAAUAACUAAGCGAAUCGCAUGGCCUUGCGCCGGGGAUGGUUCAUUCAAAUUUCUGCCCUAUCAACUUUCGAUGGUAAGAUAGUGGCUUACCAUGGUGGCAACGGGUAACGGGGAAUUAGGGUUCGAUUCCGGAGAGGGAGCCUGAGAAACGGCUACCACAUCCAAGGAAGGCAGCAGGCGCGCAAAUUACCCAAUCCCGACACGGCGAGGUAGUGACAAUAAAU